CGUAGGACGCAAGCGUUAUCCGGAGUUACUGGGCGUAAAGCGCGGGCAGGCGGUCCGGCAAGUUCGAUGUGAAAUCUCUCAGCUCAACUGGGAGCAGCCAUUGAAAACUACCAGACUAGAGGACAGCAGAGGUAAGCGGAAUUCCGGGUGGAGUGGUGAAAUGCGUAGAGAUCCGGAGGAACACCAGAGGCGAAGGCGGCUUACUGGGCUGACCCUGACGCUGAGCCGCGAAAGCCAGGGGAGCGAACGGGAUUAGAAACCCCGGUAGUCCUGGCGUAAACGAUGUGUGCUGGGUGGUGGGGGGUUUCCCUUCACUGUCGAAGCUAACGCGAUAAGCACACCGCCUGGGGAGUACGGUCGCAAGGCUA
rnacentral:rRNA from 1 species